GAAAUGCGAUAAGUAAUGUGAAUUGCAGAAUUCAGUGAAUCAUCGAAUCUUUGAACGCACAUUGCGCCCGCCAGUAUUCUGGCGGGCAUGCCUGUUCGAGCGUCAUUACAACCCUCAGGCCCCCGGGCCUGGCGUUGGGGAUCGGCGGAAGCCCCCUGCGGGCACAACGCCGUCCCCCAAAUACAGUGGCGGUCCCGCCGCAGCUUCCAUUGCGUAGUAGCUAACACCUCGCAACUGGAGAGCGGCGCGGCCACGCCGUAAAACACCCAACUUCUGAAUGUUGACCUCGAAUCAGGUAGGAAUACGCGCUGAACAUAAGC
rnacentral:misc_RNA from 1 species